AUACUUACCUGGCAGGGGAGAUGCUGUGAUCACGAAGGUGGUUUUCCCAGGGUGAGGCUUAUCCAUUUCACUCCGGAUGUGCCAACCUUUGCAGUUUCCCCAAAUGUGGGAAACUUGACUGCAUAAUUUGUGGUAGUGGGGGACUGCAUUUUUUUAAAAACUCUAU
ensembl:snRNA U1 U1 spliceosomal RNA